rnacentral:rRNA from 1 species
GAGCGGUAGAGAGAAGCUUGCUUCUCUUGAGAGCGGCGGACGGGUGAGUAAUGCCUAGGAAUCUGCCUGGUAGUGGGGGAUAACGUUCGGAAACGGACGCUAAUACCGCAUACGUCCUACGGGAGAAAGCAGGGGACCUUCGGGCCUUGCGCUAUCAGAUGAGCCUAGGUCGGAUUAGCUAGUUGGUGGGGUAAUGGCUCACCAAGGCGACGAUCCGUAACUGGUCUGAGAGGAUGAUCAGUCACACUGGAACUGAGACACGGUCCAGACUCCUACGGGAGGCAGCAGUGGGGAAUAUUGGACAAUGGGCGAAAGCCUGAUCCAGCCAUGCCGCGUGUGUGAAGAAGGUCUUCGGAUUGUAAAGCACUUUAAGUUGGGAGAAAGGGUUGUAGAUUAAUACUCUGCAAUUUUGACGUUACCGACAGAAUAAGCACCGGCUAACUCUGUG